GCAGUCGAACGAUGAAGCUGGAGCUUGCUCUGGUGGAUUAGUGGCGAACGGGUGAGUAACACGUGAGUAACCUGCCCUUGACUCUGGGAUAAGCGUUGGAAACGACGUCUAAUACCGGAUACGAGCUUCAGCCGCAUGGCUAGGAGCUGGAAAGAAUUUCGGUCAAGGAUGGACUCGCGGCCUAUCAGCUUGUUGGUGAGGUAAUGGCUCACCAAGGCGACGACGGGUAGCCGGCCUGAGAGGGUGACCGGCCACACUGGGACUGAGACACGGCCCAGACUCCUACGGGAGGCAGCAGUGGGGAAUAUUGCACAAUGGGCGAAAGCCUGAUGCAGCAACGCCGCGUGAGGGACGACGGCCUUCGGGUUGUAAACCUCUUUUAGCAGGGAAGAAGCGAAAGUGACGGUACCUGCAGAAAAAGCACCGGCUAACUACGUGCCAGCAGCCGCGGUAAUACGUAGG
rnacentral:rRNA from 1 species